GUGUUGGUUGUCUCUGUCCUUCCUUCUCAACGCAUCCAGGAUCUUCAACUCCACCAUGGCCUGGUGGUGGAACCUGCAGCCAAUCAUAACAGAGAAGCAAUGUUAUAACAUGUGUCAUAGCAUGUUAUUAGUGAAAGGCACUUCAGGACCUGUCCGAAGGAUCCUUUCCCGAUCACCUCCAGCACCUCAAACCGGAAGCCUAUGUGGUCAUGCGCGACCUGCAGAGAAAAGGAUAGCCUCCGCUCUCAUCGUCGUAGCCAGAGUUGUGUGGCAGGCUGGGGGAACCCUUCAUCUUCUUGGCAUCCAGGCCCAGGUACCAGACCUCAGAGUAGUCCAUGAUCUCCUCCUGCUCAUGCUCCGUCAGACGAUCUUUGAACGCCUUCAGGACCUCUGUAUAGGAGGGAAAGGAAAUUACUGUCAGCAAAUCCCAGUUUGCAUUUGUUUCUUCCUGAUUAAAUAAGAUCAAGGGACAGAAAA